CUGCCCAUGUGCCCGGGAUAACUUCUGGAAACGGAUGCUAAAACCGGAUAGGUAGCAGACAAGCAUUUGACUGCUAUUAAAGUGGCUAAGGCCAUGAACAUGGAUGGACCUGCGGUGCAUUAGCUAGUUGGUGAGGUAACGGCCCACCAAGGCGACGAUGCAUAGCCGGCCUGAGAGGGCGGACGGCCACAUUGGGACUGAGACACGGCCCAAACUCCUACGGGAGGCAGCAUG
rnacentral:rRNA from 1 species